UGCCAGUCGACGGGUUCAAUAGAACAAGUGGCGGACGGGUGAGUAACGCGUGAGAAUGUGCCUUCAGGAUGGGGAUAACAAUAGGAAACUAAUGCUAAGACCCAAUAUGCUGGAAAGUGAAAAAUGAAAAUUGCCUGAAGAGGAGCUCGCGUCUGAUUAGCUAGUUGGGGCGGUAAAAGCGCACCAAGGCAACGAUCAGUAGCUGGUCUGAGAGGAUGAGCAGCCACACUGGGACUGAGACACGGCCCAGACUCCUACGGGAGGCAGCAGUGGGGAAUUUUCCGCAAUGGGCGAAAGCCUGACGGAACAAUACCGCGUGGGGGGAAGAAGGCCUUUGGGUUGUAAACCCUCAAAACUUUAGGAAAAAAAAAAUGGACGGGACCUAAUAUAAACAUCGGCUAACUCCGUGCCAGCAGCCGCGUAAUACG
rnacentral:rRNA from 1 species